CGACUGCAAAAAUCUGUAUCGAAGCCAAUAAGAGAAAUCAGAGCGGCCAGAGCCAUUCAAUCCCUGCAAGGAGGGGUCUCCAUUGAAAGAUGCUGACGGUGAAUUUACGCCAUGUAGUCCACGAGGUUUAGCAUGCCCUCGUGGGUAUGCCUGCAACUUCGAGCUGGCUGACGCACCAUCCGUCUGUUGUCCAGCAACUGUGCAAGAUGCAGCACCUCCGCAACGAUCACCAGCACGGCGUGUCUUGCCCGACGGUCCUUCUUUCUCAACUUUCUUCUCGGUGGAUAUGGAAC